rnacentral:rRNA from 1 species
GACGAACGCUGGCGGCGUGCUUAACACAUGCAAGUCGAACGAUGAACCCGGAGCUUGCUCCGGCGGAUUAGUGGCGAACGGGUGAGUAACGCGUGAGUAACCUGCCCUUGACUCUGGGAUAACUGCUAGAAAUGGUAGCUAAUACCGGAUACGACCCUCGGUGGCAUCACCAGGGGGUGGAAAGAAUUUCGGUCAAGGAUGGACUCGCGGCCUAUCAGCUAGUUGGUGAGGUAACGGCGCACCAAGGCGACGACGGGUAGCCGGCCUGAGAGGGUGACCGGCCACACUGGGACUGAGACACGGCCCAGACUCCUACGGGAGGCAGCAGUGGGGAAUAUUGCACUAUGGGCGCAAGCCUGAUGCAGCAACGCCGCGUGAGGGAUGACGGCCUUCGGGUCGUAAACCUCUUUUAGUAGGGAAGAAGCGAAAGUGACGGUACCUGCAGAAAAAGCACCGGCUAACUACGUGCCAGCAGCCGCCGUAA